AGAGUUUGAUCCUGGCUCAGGAUGAACGCUAGCUACAGGCUUAACACAUGCAAGUCGAGGGGCAGCAUGAACUUAGCUUGCUAAGUUUGAUGGCGACCGGCGCACGGGUGAGUAACACGUAUCCAACCUGCCGAUGACUCGGGGAUAGCCUUUCGAAAGAAAGAUUAAUACCCGAUGGCAUAGUUCUUCCGCAUGGUAGAACUAUUAAAGAAUUUCGGUCAUCGAUGGGGAUGCGUUCCAUUAGGUUGUUGGCGGGGUAACGGCCCACCAAGCCUUCGAUGGAUAGGGGUUCUGAGAGGAAGGUCCCCCACAUUGGAACUGAGACACGGUCCAAACUCCUACGGGAGGCAGCAGUGAGGAAUAUUGGUCAAUGGACGAGAGUCUGAACCAGCCAAGUAGCGUGAAGGAUGACUGCCCUAUGGGUUGUAAACUUCUUUUAUACGGGAAUAAAGUGAGGCACGUGUGCCUUUUUGUAUGUACCGUAUGAAUAAGGAUCGGCUAACUCCGUGCCAGCAGCCGCGGUAAUACGGAGGAUCCGAGCGUUAUCCGGAUUUAUUGGGUUUAAAGGGAGCGUAGGCGGACGCUUAAGUCAGUUGUGAAAGUUUGCGGCUCAACCGUAAAAUUGCAGUUGAUACUGGGUGUCUUGAGUACAGUAGAGGCAGGCGGAAUUCGUGGUGUAGCGGUGAAAUGCUUAGAUAUCACGAAGAACUCCGAUUGCGAAGGCAGCUUGCUGGACUGUAACUGACGCUGAUGCUCGAAAGUGUGGGUAUCAAACAGGAUUAGAUACCCUGGUAGUCCACACAGUAAACGAUGAAUACUCGCUGUUUGCGAUAUACAGUAAGCGGCCAAGCGAAAGCGUUAAGUAUUCCACCUGGGGAGUACGCCGGCAACGGUGAAACUCAAAGGAAUUGACGGGGGCCCGCACAAGCGGAGGAACAUGUGGUUUAAUUCGAUGAUACGCGAGGAACCUUACCCGGGCUUGAAUUGCAACUGAAUGAUGUGGAGACAUGUCAGCCGCAAGGCAGUUGUGAAGGUGCUGCAUGGUUGUCGUCAGCUCGUGCCGUGAGGUGUCGGCUUAAGU
rnacentral:rRNA from 1 species